GAACAAGCAAGGCAAUGGCAGAUGAAAUUAAAUGUUGACAAAUGCAAGUUAAUGUGCAUUGGAAGGCAUAAUGUGACCUACUCAUACACAUUGCUGCAUUUUAAAUUAACUGUAACCACUCAGGGAAAAGACCUAGAGGUUAUUGUGAACAGCUCAAUAAAAACAUCUGUUAAAUGAACAGAAGCAGUCAGAAAAGCAAACAAAACAUUGGGCCGUACAAGGGAGAUUUUAUAUUAUCAUUUAUAUUAUGAUAAUACAUCAGGACACUGAAAACUGCUUUCUGUUGUGCCAGGCUCUGUGUGAGCAGAGAGUGAAAAGGCAUCCGAGUGUGACCAGACACCAAUGGAUAAGGAGAUUCCUGGAGCAGAGGUUUGCCUUCAAGCAAGGAGAACUGUGUGAUGUGCAAGACUUCUGGCUCUGCAAGCAGCUCAACAAGGGGUUUGAUGGAUCUUAUCUCACCUUGGUGCAUCUCUCUGCUUAAAUCUGAUUCAGCACAUGAAAAGUCCAGCAGCAGACUCCUGCGACCACGCCUGCAAGCCAGACGCAACAUGGGAAUUGAAGAAUAAAGGCCAUCAACUUCCCGUGACUCCCCUUCUACUACCUUCCUCCUCUUGCUCCAAAUUGUUUUGAAAACAUUGCUUCUCCCUUGCCUAUUUCAUUUUUGCAAUGAAGUCAUCAAACAAGAUGACAGGGACUUUCCAAGACUGAAAUCAAUCAGCAAGUUUCUCUUUGGCUUUUUCUGCUCAGGCGGGAAAUAGGGGAAUAAAUUUUAGGAGUGUCCAAAGGAAGGGAAGGGGGCACCGGGUGGGCUGGUGGCAGCGUGGAGAGGUGCAGGUGAGCACAUGGAACACCUACGGCAUCAUCCACUCCCAGCACUGCAAACCACAGUGGGCUCACGCCAGGCUCAGCCUGCCCUGCUCACAUUGGUGAGUACAGACCCCGCGUCCCGUUCUGCAGCGCUGAUCAGACGUGGUCAUUUUUUUAUGAUGACUUUUAUGCUGGCUUCUUCCAUGCUGCUCUCUGCUGUGCAGCGGGACCGCACGUGGGAAGCGCAGAGUGCGGCAGCCCCAGCUGCCAGGAGCCAUCGGAGAGCAAUCAGGGAGCAGCAAAUUGCUUGGACAUUAUGCAGGGAAAGUGCUGACCUGGUAACGUGAAGAGAUUGCUGUCACAAGCCAACAGGUUUUACUGGAAGAGCAUUUGGUUUCAGCAAAACUGUUUGACGUUUUGAAUGAAAAGUUGACAGUUUGCCCAAAAAUUGCUUCUUCCUUUUUACGCUGUUCACUUCGCUGAGACCCUCCAUGUUCUUGCCUUUCAGAAAUAAAGCAAGCAAAUGAUAGGCAAAAACUAGAUCCCUUUCCAACUAGAUCCCUUCUGUACAUAGAGUCAUUAAGGCUGGAGAAGACCCCUCAGAUCCCCAGGUCCAACCCCAGCCCACCCCACCGUGCCCACCGCCCACGUCCCUCAGUGCCACAUCUCCACAGCUCUGAACACCUCCAGGGACGGUGAUUCCCCACCUCCCUGUGCAGCUGUGCAGUGCCUCACCGCUCUUUCUGAGAAGGAAUGUUUCCU
ensembl:lncRNA